GAGUUUGAUCGUGGCUCAGAUUGAACGCUGGCGGCAGGCCUAACACAUGCAAGUCGAGCGGAUGAAGGGAGCUUGCUCCUGGAUUCAGCGGCGGACGGGUGAGUAAUGCCUAGGAAUCUGCCUGGUAGUGGGGGAUGACGUCCGGAAACGGGCGCUAAUACCGCAUACGUCCUGAGGGAGAAAGUGGGGGAUCUUCGGACCUCACGCUAUCAGAUGAGCCUAGGUCGGAUUAGCUAGUUGGUGGGUAAAGGCCUACCAAGGCGACGAUCCGUAACUGGUCUGAGAGGAUGAUCAGUCACACUGGAACUGAGACACGGUCCAGACUCCUACGGGAGGCAGCAGUGGGGAAUAUUGGACAAUGGGCGAAAGCCUGAUCCAGCCAUGCCGCGUGUGUGAAGAAGGUCUUCGGAUUGUAAAGCACUUUAAGUUGGGAGGAAGGGCAGUAAGUUAAUACCUUGCUGUUUUGACGUUACCAACAGAAUAAGCACCGGCUAACUUCGUGCCAGCCGCCGCGG
rnacentral:rRNA from 1 species